GGCCGGAUGGUGUAGUUGGUUAUCACGUACGCUUCACACGCGUAAGGUCUCGGGUUCGAACCCCGAUCUGGUCA